UACGAAGGGGGCUAGCGUUGCUCGGAAUUACUGGGCGUAAAGCGUGCGCAGGCGGUUCCGCAAGUCAGAUGUGAAAUCCCCGGGCUCAACCUGGGAACUGCAUUUGAAACUACGGGGCUAGAGUGUGUCAGAGGGGGGUGGAAUUCCACGUGUAGCAGUGAAAUGCGUAGAGAUGUGGAGGAACACCAAUGGCGAAGGCAGCCCCCUGGGAUGACACUGACGCUCAUGCACGAAAGCGUGGGGAGCAAACAGG
rnacentral:rRNA from 1 species